CCAAAUCCAAAAAACUUUAUCAACACCCCAAUGUGAACUGAGAAUGGUUUCGUUCCCUCGGUUGGGCAACCUACUGAGGGAAUGUCUAUUUUUCAACCCCUUUACAACUAUACAACCCAUUUUUUAUGCUGAAAGCAAAAAACAAAAACGAAACAUGAGA
rnacentral:misc_RNA from 1 species